ACUCCUACGGGAGGCAGCAGUGGGGAAUAUUGCACAAUGGGGGAAACCCUGAUGCAGCCAUGCCGCGUGUGUGAAGAAGGCCUUCGGUUGUAAAGCACUUCAGUAGGGAGGAAGGUAGUGUAGUUAACACCUGCAUUAUUUGACGUUACCUACAGAAGAAGCACCGGCUAACUCCGUGCCAGCAGCCGCGGUAAUACGGAGGGGUGCGAGCGUUAAUCGGAAUUACUGGGCGUAAAGCGCAUGCAGGCGGCCUGUUAAGUCAGAUGUGAAAGCCCGGGGGCUUAACCUCGGAAUUGCAUUUGAAACUGGCAGGCUAGAGUCUUGUAGAGGGGGUAGGAAUUUCAGGUGUAGCGGUGAAAUGCGUAGAGAUCUGAAGGAAUACCAGUGGCGAAGGCGGCCCCCUGGACAAAGACUAGACGCUCAGAUGCGAAAGCAGU
rnacentral:rRNA from 1 species